AACGAACGCUGGCGGCAUGCCUAACACAUGCAAGUCGAACGAGACCUUCGGGUCUAGUGGCGCACGGGUGCGUAACGCGUGGGAACCUGCCCUUAGGUUCGGAAUAACUCCCCGAAAGGGGUGCUAAUACCGGAUAAUGUCUUCGGACCAAAGAUUUAUCGCCUUUGGAUGGGCCCGCGUUGGAUUAGCUAGUUGGUAGGGUAAAAGCCUACCAAGGCGACUAUCCAUAGCUGGUCUGAGAGGAUGAUCAGCCACACUGGGACUGAGACACGGCCCAGACUCCUACGGGAGGCAGCAGUGGGGAAUAUUGGACAAUGGGCGAAAGCCUGAUCCAGCAAUGCCGCGUGAGUGAUGAAGGCCUUAGGGUUGUAAAGCUCUUUUACCCGGGAUGAUAAUGACAGUACCGGGAGAAUAAGCUCCGGCUAACUCCGUG
rnacentral:rRNA from 1 species